UACGAUGGGGGCUAGCGUUGCUCGGAAUCACUGGGCGUAAAGCGCACGUAGGCGGAUUGCUAAGUCAGGGGUGAAAUCCUGGAGCUCAACUCCAGAACUGCCUUUGAUACUGAAGAUCUCGAGUCCGGGAGAGGUGAGUGGAACUGCGAGUGUAGAGGUGAAAUUCGUAGAUAUUCGCAAGAACACCAGUGGCGAAGGCGGCUCACUGGCCCGGUACUGACGCUGAGGUGCGAAAGCCAGGGGAGCAAACGGG
rnacentral:rRNA from 1 species